rfam:Claviceps purpurea 20.1, WGS project CAGA01000000 data, contig: scaffold00037
GUCUUCAUGGCUUAGUUGGUUAAAGCGUCGGUCUCAUACGCAAGUGUGAUCCAGCCAAACGUUGGAGUAAUCCGAAGGUCGCGAGUUCGACUCUCGCUGAGGACA